UGGGGAAUAUUGCACAAUGGACGCAAGUCUGAUGCAGCCAUGCCGCGUGAGUGAUGAAGGCCUUCGGGUUGUAAAGCUCUUUUGGCGGGGACGAUAAUGACGGUACCCGCAGAAUAAGCCCCGGCUAACUUCGUGCCAGCAGCCGCGGUAAUACGAAGGGGGCGAGCAUUGUUCGGAAUUACUGGGCGUAAAGGGUGCGUAGGCGGAUUGGAUAGUCAGAUGUGAAAGCCCGGGGCUUAACCCCGGAAUUGCAUUUGAUACUGCCAGUCUGGAGUAUUGGAGAGGAGCGUGGAAUUCUCGGUGUAGAGGUGAAAUUCGUAGAUAUCGAGAGGAACACCAGUGGCGUAGGCGACGCUCUGGCCAAAUACUGACGCUGAGGCACGAAAGUGUGGGGAGCAAA
rnacentral:rRNA from 1 species